rnacentral:rRNA from 1 species
AACGAACGCUGGCGGCAGGCUUAACACAUGCAAGUCGAGCGCCCCGCAAGGGGAGCGGCAGACGGGUGAGUAACGCGUGGGAAUCUACCCAUCUCUACGGAAUAACUCAGGGAAACUUGUGCUAAUACCGUAUACGCCCUUUUGGGGAAAGAUUUAUCGGAGAUGGAUGAGCCCGCGUUGGAUUAGCUAGUUGGUGGGGUAAAGGCCUACCGAGGCGACGAUCCAUAGCUGGUCUGAGAGGAUGAUCAGCCACAUUGGGACUGAGACACGGCCCAAACUCCUACGGGAGGCAGCAGUGGGGAAUAUUGGACAAUGGGCGCAAGCCUGAUCCAGCCAUGCCGCGUGAGUGAUGAAGGCCCUAGGGUUGUAAAGCUCUUUCACCGGAGAAGAUAAUGACGGUAUCCGGAGAAGAAGCCCCGGCUAACUUCGUGCCAGCAGCCGCCGCCG